AUGGGCUCCAGGCUCCUCUGCUGUGCGGCCCUUUGUCUCCUGGGAGCAGGCCCAGUGGACUCUGAAGUCACACAGAACCCCAAGUAUCUGGUCACAGCAAGCGGACAGAACGUGACCCUGACAUGUUCCUAUGAGAAAGAACACACGAAUGUGUACUGGUACAAGCAGGCCCUGGGCCAGGGUCCAGCGUUCCUGGUUCGGUAUUAUGGUGGGAAAGAGCAAGAAAAAGAAAGUUUCCCUCAACGAUUCAAAUUUGGGCAGUUGGAAGACGAUUAUAGCUCUGAGCUGAACAUGAGCCUCGUGGAGUUUGGGGACUCGGCCCUGUAUCUCUGCGCCAGCAGCUUGGCACAGCCCUGCAGGAGCAGCAGCUCAGAGCACAAAAACCCUCCUGCCCAGCUCAGGAAGUGA